CCGAAGCUUGCUUCGGUACUCGAGUGGCGAACGGGUGAGUAACACGUGGGUGAUCUGCCCUGCACUUUGGGAUAAGCCUGGGAAACUGGGUCUAAUACCAGAUAGGACCACGUCUUGGAUGGUGUGGUGGAAAGUUUUUUCGGUGUGGGAUGAGCUCGCGGCCUAUCAGCUUGUUGGUGGGGUAAUGGCCUACCAAGGCGUCGACGGGUAGCCGGCCUGAGAGGGUGUACGGCCACAUUGGGACUGAGAUACGGCCCAGACUCCUACGGGAGGCAGCAGUGGGGAAUAUUGCACAAUGGGCGCAAGCCUGAUGCAGCGACGCCGCGUGGGGGAUGACGGCCUUCGGGUUGUAAACUCCUUUCGCCAGGGACGAAGCGUAAGUGACGGUACCUGGAUAAGAAGCACCGGCUAACUACGUGCCAGCAGCCGCGGUAAUACGUAGGGUGCGAGCGUUGUCCGGAAUUACUGGGCGUAAAGAGCUCGUAGGUGGUUUGUCGCGUCGUUUGAGUAAUACCGCAGCUUAACUGCGGGGUUGCAGGCGAUACGGGCAUAACUUGAGUGCUGUAGGGGAGACUGGAAUUCCUGGUGUAGCGGUGGAAUGCGCAGAUAUCAGGAGGAACACCGAUGGCGAAGGCAGGUCUCUGGGCAGUAACUGACGCUGAGGAGCGAAAGCAUGGGUAGCGAACAGGAUUAGAUACCCUGGUAGUCCAUGCCGUAAACGGUGGGCGCUAGGUGUGAGUCCCUUCCACGGGGUUCGUGCCGUAGCUAACGCAUUAAGCGCCCCGCCUGGGGAGUACGGCCGCAAGGCUAAAACUCAAAGGAAUUGACGGGGGCCCGCACAGGCGGCGGAGCAUGUGGAUUAAUUCGAUGCAACGCGAAGAACCUUACCUGGGCUUGGCAUGCACCGGAUCGCUGCAGAGAUGUAGUUUCCCUUGUGGCUGGUGUACAGGUGGUGCAUGGUUGUCGUCAGCUCGUGUCGUGAGAUGUUGGGUUAAGUCCCGCAACGAGCGCAACCCUUGUCUUAUGUUGCCAGCAUUUGGUUGGGGACUCAUGAGAGACUGCCGGGGUUAAC
rnacentral:rRNA from 1 species